rnacentral:rRNA from 1 species
AAUAUUGGUCAAUGGGGGCAACCCUGAUCCAGCCAUGCCGUGUGUGUUAAGAAGGUCANCUGAAUNUNAAGUACUUUACUUUGGGNGAAAGGGCUUUAGGCUAAUACGCUGAAGUUUUCACGUUACCAACAGAAUAAGCACCGGCUAACUUCGUACCAGCAGCUGCUGUAAUACGAAGGGUGCAAGGGUUAAUCGGAAUUACUGGGCGUAAAGGCGGCGUAAGUGGUUUGUUAAGUUUGAAGUGAAAGCCCCGGGGUCCACCCGGGAACUUGUUUUAAAAACGGGCAGGUAGAGUAUGGGCGAGGGUGGUGGAAUUUUCUGUUUAGGGGUGAAAAGGGUAGGUAUAGGAAGGAACACCAGUGGCGAAGGCGACCACCCGGGCUAAUACUGACACUGAAGUGGGAAAGCGUGGGGAGGAAACAG